rnacentral:rRNA from 1 species
UAAGGAAUAUUGGACAAUGGAGGCAACUCUGAUCCAGCCAUGCCGCGUGAAGGAAUAAGGCCCUAUGGGUUGUAAACUUCUUUUAGACGGGACAAAACCCCUUUACGUGUAAAGGGUUGAUGGUACUGUCAGAAUAAGCAUCGGCUAACUUCGUGCCAGCAGCCGCGGUAAUACGAAGGAUGCAAGCGUUAUCCGGAAUUAUUGGGUUUAAAGGGUGCGUAGGCGGACUAAUAAGUCAGUGGUGAAAGCCUGCAGCUUAACUGCAGAAUUGCCAUUGAUACUGUUAGUCUUGAGUACAGUUGAGGUAGGCGGAAUGUGUCAUGUGGCGGUGAAAUGCUUAGAUAUGACACAGAACGCCGAUUGCGAAGGCAGCUUGCUAAGCUGUAACUGACGCUGAGGCACGAAAGCGUGGGGAGCAAACA